ensembl:lncRNA
GGUUACAGAUUUGGCCAAUGGGGAGCCUGCAUUCCGCUCCCCCUGCUACAGGCGGUGCUGCCGCCAUGUUUGUUAUGAGCUGCGUGAGGGCUCUUUUCUUUCCCUGCAUCUUUCAGUGGAGUUUUUGCCAUAAUUUCAUAUCCUGCCAUUUAUAGCCUCGCCAGGUGGAGCGAGCUAGCCUGCAGCACCCAUUAGAGCAGUUAAAAAGGCACGCCGAGCUCCUUAUGGAAACAGCUUGCCAGACCCCCAGAAGGAUGACUGUGUGACGUCCCGCCCCCUCUGCCGCUCCAGGAGCCAUCAUUACUGUGGGCUCGCCCAUUACUGACCGGCUUCCAUGCGCUAUUUCAACGUUGCCACGGAGGGGCAGAGCUGAGGCUGCUUCGUGACGGCGAGGAGAGCGAAACGAGUCCUCUUCGCUUAGGAACGAUCCGCAUAUCCCACUAGGGGCGUCCUGCUGCGUGCCGAGCUGCUCAGCGGGAAGGCUCUGUUCUCGUCUAAUAGUGGUCUGCCUUCUUUCUUGGUUGUGUUUCUAAGGAGCUGAGGCUGGAUGUGGCUCUGGGCUGCCUGGUCUGCUGGUUGGAGACUCUGAACACAGCAGGGGGUUGGAAUGGGAUGAGCAUUGUGGUCCUUUUCAACCCAGGCCAUUCUGUGGUUCUGUGAUUCUCUUGAAGGCCGCUGGAAGCCCCAAUUAGCUUCAUUCCCUCAUUGGCUUCACCCUGGGGCUCAGGACAUCUCAAGGGGCUUCCAGGUAGGAUGUGGUGUGGGCAUGGCAUGCAUCCGUGGGGGCUGCAUCCGAAGAAGGGCAACAAAGCUAUGAAGGUCUGGAACAUAAGUCUUAUGGGGAACAGCUGAGGGACCCAAACUGCUGAACUGCCACUUUCCAGUCUGAUCAGCCACCAAAUUCCCAGUCUGACCAAAGUCAGGGGUGAGUGAGAUGACCUCAAAGAAACACAGUGUGAGGCAAACCUCCUUUUCUUGCUAGCUUCGGUCUCGAUCCACUGAACUGAUUUGAGCAGAAACCUUCCAGAAUAUUUGUUCCAUGGCAUCUCGUUGGCCCGGAACACAUCACAGUGCAAGAUUGCAGCUUGGGAAGUGAGAAGAAACUGAAAGGAAGGGCUUGCAGUAGGAAAUGUCAGGCAGCCAGAAAUGUAAGUGUUGCUGCUUCCUCUGCUGAUGGAUAGCGUGUUGCUGUGAAAGAUGCCCAAACCAGGACUUACAGUGCAUAGCAAAGCAUUGUAUUGCACACUGCUCUGCAGAGCCAUGCUCAACAUGACUGUCUCCUGCCCUCCAGGUACUGAUUUGCUGCAAUAAGAUGUGAAUGUAAAUCCUUC